rfam:Aspergillus glaucus CBS 516.65 unplaced genomic scaffold ASPGLscaffold_47, whole genome shotgun sequence.
GGGCACGUAGCUCAGUCGGGAAGAGCGUUCGUCUAGGUUGACCCCAGGUCCGGGGUUCGAAUCCCCACGCAUCCA